rnacentral:rRNA from 1 species
GACGAACGCUGGCGGCGUGCUUAACACAUGCAAGUCGAACGAUGAAGCCGGAGCUUGCUCUGGUGAAUUAGUGGCGAACGGGUGAGUAACACGUGAGUAACCCGCCCUUGACUCUGGGAUAACUGCUAGAAAUGGUAGCUAAUACCGGAUACGACCCUCGGAGGCAUCUCCAGGGGGUGGAAAGAAUUUCGGUCAAGGAUGGACUCGCGGCCUAUCAGCUAGUUGGUGAGGUAACGGCUCACCAAGGCGACGACGGGUAGCCGGCCUGAGAGGGUGACCGGCCACACUGGGACUGAGACACGGCCCAGACUCCUACGGGAGGCAGCAGUGGGGAAUAUUGCACAAUGGGCGCAAGCCUGAUGCAGCAACGCCGCGUGAGGGAUGACGGCCUUCGGGUUGUAAACCUCUUUUAGUAGGGAAGAAGCGAAAGUGACGGUACCUGCAGAAAAAACACCGGCUAACUACGUGCCAGCCGCCGCAGUAA